rnacentral:rRNA from 1 species
AUUGAACGCUGGCGGCAUGCCUUACACAUGCAAGUCGAACGGCAGCACGGGUGCUUGCACCUGGUGGCGAGUGGCGAACGGGUGAGUAAUACAUCGGAACAUGUCCUGUAGUGGGGGAUAGCCCGGCGAAAGCCGGAUUAAUACCGCAUACGAUCUACGGAUGAAAGCGGGGGACCUUCGGGCCUCGCGCUAUGGGGUUGGCCGAUGGCUGAUUAGCUAGUUGGUGGGGUAAAGGCCUACCAAGGCGACGAUCAGUAGCUGGUCUGAGAGGACGACCAGCCACACUGGGACUGAGACACGGCCCAGACUCCUACGGGAGGCAGCAGUGGGGAAUGUUGGACAAUGGGCGAAAGCCUGAUCCAGCAAUGCCGCGUGUGUGAAGAAGGCCUUCGGGUUGUAAAGCACUUUUGUCCGGAAAGAAAUCCUUGGCCCUAAUACGGUCGGGGGAUGACGGUACCGGAAGAAUAAGCACCGGCUAACUACGUG